GAAUUUUAUAUAAAUUUAUUAUAUAAUUUAAAAAAUAAAAAUUUAAUAAAUUUAUAUUUUAUUGGGAGGAUAGAUAAAUUAAAAGAACUUUAAUAAUAAGAAAUCCAUUAAUUUAUGAAUUAGUUGAUAAAUGAAUGAGUGGCUAUAAAGUUUAAAUAGAAUUAAUUACCUUAGGGAUAACAGCGUGAUAUCUUUGGAGAGAUCUUAUUAAUAAAGAUGAUUGC
rnacentral:rRNA from 2 species